UACGUAGGGUCCGAGCGUUGUCCGGAAUUAUUGGGCGUAAAGAGCUCGUAGGCGGUUUGUCGCGUCUGCUGUGAAAUCCCGAGGCUCAACCUCGGGUCUGCAGUGGGUACGGGCAGACUGGAGUGCGGUAGGGGGAGAAUGGAAUUCCUGGUGUAGCGGUGGAAUGCGCAGAUAUCAGGAGGAACACCGAUGGCGAAGGCAGUUCUCCUGGGCCGUAAACCUGACGCUG
rnacentral:rRNA from 1 species